AAAGUUGUAAUAAAAAAUUGCCAACUCAGUUUUGUUCUUUUUCGUCUUGACAGUUUCGUUCUUCUUCUUCGUCGUUUCUUUCUUCGAGUUCGCCGUUUCCUUCUUCUUGGUGUUCGUCAGUUUCAUCUUCGUUUUCGAUCCGUUCAUAUUCAGCGAUUGUUGUUCGUUUUCAAUUUCAAUUUGGGGGUUAGGGCAAAUCUAUUUUCAUCGUGAAUGAAACCCAACUUUCUAUCUUCUUUCUUUCUAUUUUC
rnacentral:lncRNA from 1 species